AGAAUCAACGCUGGCGGCGCGCUUAACACAUGCAAGUCGAACGAGAAAGUGGAGUAAUCCAUGAGUAAAGUGGCGUACGGGUGAGUAACACGUGGGUAAUCUACCUCUUGGUGGGGGAUAACCCUGGGAAACCGGGGCUAAUACCGCAUAAGACCGUAAGGUGAAAGGGGAAAUUCGCCGAGAGAGGAGCCCGCGGCUGAUUAGCUAGUUGGUGAGGUAAAGCUCACCAAGGCGAAGAUCGGUAGCC
rnacentral:rRNA from 1 species